CCUACGAGAGGCUGCAGUGAGGAAUAUUGGUCAAUGGCCGGGAGGCUGAACCAGCCAAGUCGCGUGAGGGAAGACGGCCCUACGGGUUGUAAACCUCUUUUGUCAGGGAGCAAGGUGCAGGUCGGGACCUGCUGUGAGAGUACCUGAAGAAAAAGCAUCGGCUAACUCCGUGCCAGCAGCCGCAGUAAUACGGAGGAUGCGAGCUGUAUCCGGAUUUAUUGGGUUUAAAGGGUGCUCAGGCGGAGGCACAAGUCAGCGGUAAAAUCGCGGGGCUCAACCCCGCUCCGCCGUUGAAACUGUGUCCGUUGAGUGCGCGAAGGGUAGGCGGAAUGCGUGGUGUAGCGGUGAAAUGCAUAGAUAUCACGCAGAAAUCCGAUUGCGAAGGCAGCAUACCGGCGGCGAUCUGACGCUGAGGCACGAAAGCGUGGGUAUCGAACAGGAUUAGAUACCCCAGUAGUC
rnacentral:rRNA from 1 species